GAUGAACGCUGGCGGCGCGCCUAACACAUGCAAGUCGAACGGCACCCCCCUCGGGGGGGAAGCGAGUGGCGAACGGCUGAGUAACACGUGGAGAACCUGCCCCCUCCUCGGGAAUAGCCGCGGGAAACCGCGGGUAAUGCCCGACGACCCGGGGACCGCGCAUGCGGCCCCCGGCAAAGCCCAGGCGGGAGGGGAUGGCUCCGCGGCCCAUCAGGUAGACGGCGGGGUGACGGCCCACCGUGCCGACAACGGGUAGCCGGGUUGAGAGACCGACCGGCCAGAUUGGGACUGAGACACGGCCCAGAUUCCUACGGGAGGCAGCAGUGGGGAAUCUUGCGCAAUGGGGGCAACCCUGACGCAGCGACGCCGCGUGCGGGACGGAGGCCUUCGGGUCGUAAACCGCUUUCAGCAGGGAAGAGACAAGACUGUACCUGCAGAAGAAGCCCCGGCUAACUACGUGCCAGCAGCCGCGGUAAUACGUAGGGGGCGAGCGUUAUCCGGAUUCAUUGGGCGUAAAGCGCGCGUAGGCGGCCUGGCAGGCCGGGGGUCAAAUGCGGGGGCUCAACCCCCGCCCGCCCCCGGAACCUCUAGGCUUGGGUCCGGUAGGGGAGGGUGGAACACCCGGUGUAGCGGUGGAAUGCGCAGAUAUCGGGUGGAACACCGGUGGCGAAGGCGGCCCUCUGGGCCGUGACCGACGCUGAGGCGCGAAAGCUGGGGGAGCGAACAGGAUUAGAUACCCUGGUAGUCCCAGCCGUAAACGAU
rnacentral:rRNA from 1 species